rnacentral:rRNA from 1 species
GCUCGAGUGGCGAACGGGUGAGUAACACGUGAGUAACCUGCCCUUGACUUUGGGAUAACUUCAGGAACCUGGGGCUAAUACCGGAUAGGAGCUCCUGCUGCAUGGUGGGGGUUGGAAAGUUUCGGCGGUUGGGGAUGGACUCGCGGCUUAUCAGCUUGUUGGUGGGGUAGUGGCUUACCAAGGCUUUGACGGGUAGCCGGCCUGAGAGGGUGACCGGCCACAUUGGGACUGAGAUACGGCCCAG